rnacentral:lncRNA from 1 species
CCGAGCUUCUUCUCAUUCCGGAUUGAUCCUAUCAUCCAUAGGAUAAGGUUUAGGUGUUCAUUCCGAAGCUAGAUCCCAUGAUCUUUGGAUCAAACUUUCUCCCCUGCUUCCGAAUUUCCCAGAUUUCUUCCCAGCUGCCAGCCGUCCCAGCUUCAUCUCUUCCAAACUUCCUUCAUCCAUACGUUCCAGCUCCCCUGUUUCAUGCGUCUUCAUCUCAGCCAAAUUCCCAGCAUCCCGUUUGUAAGCCAUAUCCUCCCGAAUCAUCUGCGGUUCAAGGGAUCAGCUCCCAGUUCUUCCCAGCAUCCAUGAUACAAGGAUCAUCACCCAACUUAUCUUCCCACGCGUCUGGUUCAUCUCCCCCUCAUCCCAUUUAGGAUCCAUUCGAUUCAUCCUUUCUUUCUGUUUCGGAACAGAGCCUGAUAAAUCCAC